CCGGGAAUACCAAAGUUUUGAGCGGUGGUGAUAGAGAGUGACUGACCAUGUUCCUGAUUGUAGAGGGCGUGCCACAGGGAGUGACAAAGCUUCUCUCUGGCGCGCAUAAAAGGGUUGAACUGCUGCGUCUGGUGUGGACGACAUCGCCGGCGACGCUCUUGGUCGGCAGCAGGAAUACAUGUCGUAUUUUGCACCGUUGGGCAACAAGGAGCAUCCGUAUCAGUGAAACCUGAAACACACGGACCAUUUAGGUUCAACUUGUAAUCCAGAAUGUGAAAUGGAGAGAGAGAAAACGUGAACUGGUACUAGUAUUGGUUUCACUGUUUACGAUCGC
rnacentral:lncRNA from 1 species